UACGUAGGGGGCUAGCGUUGUCCGGAUUUAUUGGGCGUAAAGAGCUCGUAGGCGGUUUGUCACGUCGGAUGUGAAAACCCGAGGCUUAACCUCGGGCCUGCAUUCGAUACGGGCUGACUAGAGUUCGGUAGGGGAGACUGGAAUUCCUGGUGUAGCGGUGAAAUGCGCAGAGAUCAGGAAGAACAUCGGUGGCGAAGGCGGCGACCUGGACAGUAACUGACGCUGAGACGCGAAAGCGUGGGUAGCAAACAGG
rnacentral:rRNA from 1 species